ACGGGCCCGGCGGGCGGGGGAAGUGUUUGGCCGGGUGGCCGCGUCUGUUGGCGGUUUCCGGUGAUCUCUGUGUCCGCCCGGUACCGGCUGGAGGAGAGGAAGGGCCCCGGCCCGGAGCAGGUUGUACUCCGGUGGUGACACAACACAAUACUCUGCUGUGUGCCGGGGGGAGAAGUUUUCCAUUGGAAGGUGUUCAGUGCCGGGCACGUGACUGCACGCUGAGCAAACAAUCUGCUGCAGGUGGAGUCGUUGGAUACGAAGCCGGAUUUGUAGUCUGUUGCUGUAAACAUCCCCGACUGGAAGCUUUGAGGCAAGUUUUGAGCUUUCAGUCUGAUGUUUGCUGCUACCGGCUGUAAAAGUCGAACAUCUUCAGAGACCUUUCUUUGCUGGUCCUACCUGAGGGACUUUGGAUGUAGACCUGAAGAGCACAACCUGCUGGAUUGGAGACGACAUUACAUUGUAUGCUUCUUUGGGGAAGGAUUACAUUGCCUCUGUUCUUGUGAUACAACAGUGUGUGUGUGUGUGUGUGUGUUUUUUGUGUUUCCCAGCACUUCUUCCUAGGACAGGACCAGACUGCACUGCAUAGAGGAAGCAUUGUUUUCUGUAUUAACUAGGGUUGUCCCGAUGCGCCAGCUGCGCCGCGUA